rnacentral:rRNA from 1 species
AUUGAACGCUGGCGGCAGGCCUAACACAUGCAAGUCGAACGAGUGGCGGACGGGUGAGUAAUGUCUGGGAAACUGCCUGAUGGAGGGGGAUAACUACUGGAAACGGUAGCUAAUACCGCAUACCAUCAGAUGUGCCCAGAUGGGAUUAGCUGGUUGGUGGGGUAACGGCUCACCACGGCGACGAUCCCUAUCUGGUCUGAGAGGAUGACCAGCCACACUGGAAGUGAGACGCGGUCCAGACUCCGACGGUAGGCAGCAGUGUGGAAUGUUGCACAAUGGGGGCAAGCCUGAGGCAGCCGUGCCGCGUGUAUGAAGGAGGCCUUCGGGUUGUAAAGUACUUUCAGCGGUGAGGCGGUACCCGCAGAAGAAGCACCGGCUAACUCCGUGCCAGCAGCCGCGGUAAUUC